rnacentral:rRNA from 1 species
AGAGUUUGAUCAUGGCUCAGAUUGAACGCUGGCGGCAGGCCUAACACAUGCAAGUCGAACGGUAACAGAAAGCAGCUUGCUGCUUUGCUGACGAGUGGCGGACGGGUGAGUAAUGUCUGGGAAACUGCCUGAUGGAGGGGGAUAACUACUGGAAACGGUAGCUAAUACCGCAUAACGUCGCAAGACCAAAGAGGGGGACCUUCGGGCCUCUUGCCAUCGGAUGUGCCCAGAUGGGAUUAGCUUGUUGGUGGGGUAACGGCUCACCAAGGCGACGAUCCCUAGCUGGUCUGAGAGGAUGACCAGCCACACUGGAACUGAGACACGGUCCAGACUCCUACGGGAGGCAGCAGUGGGAAUAUUGCACAAUGGGCGCAAGCCUGAUGCAGCCAUGCCGCGUGUAUGAAGAAGGCCUUCGGGUUGUAAAGUACUUUCAGCGGGGAGGAAGGGAGUAAAGUUAAUACCUUUGCUCAUUGACGUUACCCGCAGAAGAAGCACCGGCUAACUCCGUGCCAGCAGCCGCGGUAAUACGGAGGGUGCAAGCGUUAAUCGGAAUUACUGGGCGUAAAGCGCACGCAGGCGGUUUGUUAAGUCAGAUGUGAAAUCCCCGGGCUCAACCUGGGAACUGCAUCUGAUACUGGCAAGCUUGAGUCUCGUAGAGGGGGGUAGAAUUCCAGGUGUAGCGGUGAAAUGCGUAGAGAUCUGGAGGAAUACCGGUGGCGAAGGCGGCCCCCUGGACGAAGACUGACGCUCAGGUGCGAAAGCGUGGGGAGCAAACAGGAUUAGAUACCCUGGUAGUCCACGCCGUAAACGAUGUCGACUUGGAGGUUGUGCCCUUGAGGCGUGGCUUCCGGAGCUAACGCGUUAAGUCGACCGCCUGGGGAGUACGGCCGCAAGGUUAAAACUCAAAUGAAUUGACGGGGGCCCGCACAAGCGGUGGAGCAUGUGGUUUAAUUCGAUGCAACGCGAAGAACCUUACCUGGUCUUGACAUCCACAGAACUUUCCAGAGAUGGAUUGGUGCCUUCGGGAACUGUGAGACAGGUGCUGCAUGGCUGUCGUCAGCUCGUGUUGUGAAAUGUUGGGUUAAGUCCCGCAACGAGCGCAACCCUUAUCCUUUGUUGCCAGCGGUCCGGCCGGGAACUCAAAGGAGACUGCCAGUGAUAAACUGGAGGAAGGUGGGGAUGACGUCAAGUCAUCAUGGCCCUUACGACCAGGGCUACACACGUGCUACAAUGGCGCAUACAAAGAGAAGCGACCUCGCGAGAGCAAGCGGACCUCAUAAAGUGCGUCGUAGUCCGGAUUGGAGUCUGCAACUCGACUCCAUGAAGUCGGAAUCGCUAGUAAUCGUGGAUCAGAAUGCCACGGUGAAUACGUUCCCGGGCCUUGUACACACCGCCCGUCACACCAUGGGAGUGGGUUGCAAAAGAAGUAGGUAGCUUAACCUUCGGGAGGGCGCUUACCACUUUGUGAUUCAUGACUGGGGUGAAGUCGUAACAAGGUAACCGUAGGGGAACCUGCGGUUGGAUCACCU